rnacentral:rRNA from 1 species
UACGAGGGGGGCAAGCGUUGUUCGGAAUUAUUGGGCGUAAAGGGCGCGUAGGCGGUGCGGUAAGUCUGAUGUGAAAUCUCCGGGCUCAACUCAUAGUCUGCAUCGGAAACUGCCGGGCUUGAGUGUGGGAGAGGUGAGUGGAAUUCCUGGUGUAGCGGUGAAAUGCGUAGAUAUCAGGAGGAACACCUGUGGCGAAAGCGGCUCACUGGACCAUAACUGACGCUGAUGCACGAAAGCUAGGGGAGCAAACAGG